rnacentral:rRNA from 1 species
UACGAAGGGGGCUAGCGUUGCUCGGAAUCACUGGGCGUAAAGGGCGCGUAGGCGGUCCGCCAAGUCAGGGGUGAAAUCCUGCAGCUUAACUGUAGAAGUGCCUCUGAUACUGGCGGUCUUGAGGGAAAUAGGGGUGUGCGGAACUUCCGAGUGGAGCGGUGAAAUGCGUUGAGAUCGGAAGGAACGCCCGUGGCGAAAGCGAGGUCCUGGACGCCUACUGACGCUGAGACGCGAAAGCCAGGGGAGCGAACGGGG